rnacentral:lncRNA from 1 species
AGAAAAUCUCUUCAUGAGAAUAAAUUGAAGAGACUGCAGGAGAAAGUGGAAGUCUUGGAGGCAAAGAAAGAAGAAUUAGAGACAGAAAACCAGGUGUUAAAUAGACAAAAUGUUCCAUUUGAAGAAUAUACAAGGCUUCAGAAACGACUAAAGGACAUACAGAGAAGACAUAAUGAAUUUCGAAGUCUAAUCUUGGUUCCUAACAUGCCUCCCGCAGCAUCGGUCAAUCCUGCUAACUUCCAGUCCUCAGCUAUAGUUCCUGGAGUGGAACUCUCCUUUCCCCCUCAUCUGCAGACUGGAAGAGCUAGAAACUACACAAAGAAAACAACUAGAGGAACUUGGAUCUCCCGGGGAGUGAUGCUGGAAGAAAGGCAAAGCCAGAAACUCAAUAAAGUAUGACGUUUAACGUGUGGCCUCCAGGUGCUUUCUUACUGUUUGCCAAAAUUGAGCUGCCUCAAGACAAGGUACUAGCUAUGCGCUGCACUGCAAGGGCUCCAAGAUUUUAGGAUAAUACUAAGAAAAAUGAAGUAUUCAUAUAUUUAGGACAUGCAUUGAUAAUCUUUUGACAAUGCAAAAAUAAAAGGAACUAGUUAAUUAAAAAUCAAGUUUUCAAAUUUAUUAAUUUUUAUUUUGUUGAUAUUUUCUGACAUUUUGCUUGAAAUAUAUCCAUCCUGAAGUCCCUUUUCCUUAUCUUUGAAAUGUCUCCUUGGUAAUAACAAGAUCAGUAAAUAUCUCCUUUCCUAUAUAUAAAAGUUUUGGAAAAGAUGGUCAUUUAAAAGUAUAAAAAACACUUAAAAGUUUCUAAACAUGUAUAUUAUAGAAAUCCUUUCCUAAAAGCUGUGCAUUUAAUUUAUUGAAUAACUUAAUAAAUAUUUUUGUAUCUAU